rnacentral:rRNA from 1 species
UGGGGAAUAUUGCACAAUGGGGGAAACCCUGAUGCAGCAACGCCGCGUGAAGGAUGAAGGCCCUUGGGUUGUAAACUUCUUUGAUCAGGGAAGAAAGAAAUGACGGUACCUGAAUAACAAGCCACGGCUAACUACGUGCCAGCAGCCGCGGUAAUACGUAGGUGGCAAGCGUUGUCCGGAUUUACUGGGUGUAAAGGGCGUGUAGGCGGGAUCACAAGUCGGAAGUGAAAUCCCCGGGCUUAACCCGGGAACUGCUUCUGAAACUGUGGUUCUUGAGUACUGGAGAGGAAAGCGGAAUUCCUAGUGUAGCGGUGAAAUGCGUAGAUAUUAGGAGGAACACCAGUGGCGAAGGCGGCUUUCUGGACAGAAACUGACGCUGAGGCGCGAAAGCGUGGGGAGCAAACA